rnacentral:misc_RNA from 1 species
GAAAUGCGAUAAGUAGUGUGAAUUGCAGAAUUCAGUGAAUCAUCGAAUCUUUGAACGCGCAUUGCGCCCUUUGGUAUUCCUUAGGGCAUGCCUGUUCGAGCGUCAUCUAAACCUUCAAGCCCUGCUUGGUGUUGGGUGCCUGUCCCGCCUCCGCGCGCGGACUCACCUCAAAUCCAUUGGCGGCCCCCGCGUCGGCCACGAGCGCAGCAGAAACGCGAACUCGUGAGCCCGAGCGUAUGGGGACUUUUGUCACACGUUCGCGGUGCGGACCGGCGCCUGCUUUGACUUUUAAUUUCUAGGUUGACCUCGGAUCAGGUAGGGAUACCCGCUGAACUUAAGC